AUGGCCAGGAAAAGACAAAGGUGAAGAAGACAGAACAUAACCAGCUCCAAGAGAGCUGAGUUUCAAUUUCCCGUUAGUCUUGUAGAUUGUAUCCUACUAGAGGGAAACUAUUCUAGACACCUGAGCUUUUCUGCAUCUGUAUUCGUCUCAGGUGUGCUCGAGUAUGUAACUUCAUAGAACAUCCUUGAACUGGCUGGUGAGGUGGCCCACAACACUGGCAGGAAGUGCAUAGCUCCAGAGCAUGUAUUAUGGUGAGUGGUACAGAGCAACGACCAGCUCCACCAAUUAUUCAAACCAGGUGGCACAUCAGUGUUUGAGCCACCAGAACCUGAUGACAACUGA
rnacentral:lncRNA from 1 species